rnacentral:rRNA from 1 species
GACGAACGCUGGCGGCGUGCUUAACACAUGCAAGUCGAACGGGUCUGCCCUGUUUUUUGCGGGGUGGGUCAGUGGCGAACGGGUGAGUAACACGUGAGUAACCUGCCCCUCACUUCUGGAUAACCGCUUGAAAGGGUGGCUAAUACGGGGUGUUCUGGCUGUGCCGCAUGGUGUGGCUGGGAAAGAUUCACUUUUGUGGUGUUUUGGUGGGGGAUGGGCUCGCGGCCUAUCAGCUUGUUGGUGGGGUGAUGGCCUGCCAAGGCUUUGACGGGUAGCCGGCCUGAGAGGGUGGGCGGUCACACUGGGUCUGAGAUACGGCCCAGACUCCUGCGGGAGGCAGCAGUGGGGGGUAUUGCACAAUGGGCGGAAGCCUGAUGCAGCGACGUCGCGUGAGGGAUGGAGGCCUUCGGGUUGUGAACCUCUUUCGCCGGUGAAGAAGGUCCUGCUCUUUGUGGUGGGGUUGACGGUAGCCGGGUUAUGAAGCGCCGGCUAACUACGUG